CUCCCAGGCUGCCAAAUAAAAUUCAACAUUAAAUCCAUCCGGACCCGGAGAAGCAUUAAGCUUCAUAUCUUUCAAAAUCUGCAAGACUUCAUGUUUAUCAGGAAUAAAAUAAGUGGGAUCGAAAGAGUUCUCGGGGCGAGUACGUCGAAGACGAUGGCCUCCGAUGUGGCCGCCGACGAGCCACCCGCCAUCAGCAACAUCCACGAGGUCUGCGCGGCCGACGAGCUCCCCGUCAUCGCCACCGUUCAGAAGCUCUGCGCGGCCGACAAGCCCCCCGCCAUCUGCACCGUCCACGAGCUCUGCGCGGGCGACGCACCCCCGCCAUCGGCAGGGUCCCCGAUCUGUGCGCCGCGGGCGUAGACGUCGUGGCGCAGGAGCGAACCAAUCAAUCCUUGUCCCAUGAAGACUGCAACAAGCACUAGCAUUCUUUGGGUGGGGUUUCAGAAGAAGGAACUCAAGGAAGAUUCAGAAAACUCACCGUGGAUCGCUUGACUGGGCCAGUGUGGGCGAUCGAAGCCCAUCUUGGCAAAAAAACAAAUGUGGGCGUCCAUCAACUUAUGGGCUGCGAGUGGGCUUCGUAAAAUCAAGUAAAAAAAUUCACAUGGUGGGGAAUCGAAGACAACACCUCGAGUACCAACGCAACCUGUCGUAACCAACUGAGCUGACUUCUAUUUGUGAUUCAUCCCAUCUCAACAGUUUAUAUUGCAGCGCACCGAUUUAUAUGUGUUCCCUACUUGCUCGCAGUAUCAACAUACCUCCAUGGGACUCAAAGAACACAGAAAAUAGAGACUAGCAAGGAAUUGAUCCUGAAAUUGUGUGGCUGCCACGUAAAAAAAGAAAAAUAUUUGGGAGCAUUAUAAUUGCCAGGAGUCCCCUUGAUUUUAUAGUAAAGGAAGGGAUCGUAGGGCUGGAUUUCUUUGUCCUUAAAAGGAUGCUUGAUUUGAGUGAUUUGUGGGCUGCUAAUGACAUCCAUAAUUAAAGCUUAACAGUUGCACAAUCAAGGAAGGUCCGCCGGGCCGGUCACGAGGGGCAACACAGAAUUUAGGAUCAGAAUCCGCCCUAUGGCAGGCCAGGGCAGAAGAAAAAGGAAAUUGCUGGAAGGGAAGGAGAUAAAUUCCCCUGUUAUUAGGCAAAAACGGAAGGAAUUUAAAAGAAGAAAUAAAUUCCGCUGGAAUUAGAAAGCUAGCUGU